GCAGACACAUUCCAGCCAAUCAGCAGCAGACCCUCCCUCCCAGACCCUCCCACCUCCUGGACAGCAUCCAUUUUAAAUUCGUUGUGAAGCUGCAUUCUUAGUGAGCUGUCCAGGAGGUGGGAGAGUCUGGGAGGGAGGGUCUUCUGCUUAUUGGCUGGAAUGUGUCUG
rnacentral:miRNA from 1 species